UGGGGUGUAGCCAAGCGGUAAGGCAGCGGUUUUUGGUGUCGCCAUGCGCAGGUUCGAAUCCUGCCACCCCAGCCA
rnacentral:tRNA from 2 species